CGGGGAGGUAGUGACGAAAAAUAACAAUACGGGACUCAUCCGAGGCCCCGUAAUUGGAAUGACUACAAUUUAAAUCCUUUAAGAAGGAUCCAUUGGAGGGCAAGUCUGGUGCCAGCAGCCGCGGUAAUUCCAGCUCCAAUAGCGUAUAUUAAAGUUGCUGCAGUUAAAAAGCUCGUAGUUGGAUCUCAGUUACGGGCAGGUGGUUCACUUUACAGUGCUACUACCUGAACCGAACCUAUUGCUGGAUCUCUUGGGUGCCCUUUACUGGGUGCCCCUUGAGACCAGAGCGUUUACUUUGAGAAAAUUAGAGUGCUCAAAGCAGGCGAAUGCCUGAAUAGUUGUGCAUGGAAUAAUGAAAUAUGGCCUCGGUACUGUUUUGUUGGUUCACGGUGCUCGAGGUAAUGGUUGAAAGGGACUGACGGGGGCAUUCGUAUUGCGACGUUAGAGGUGAAAUUCUUAGAUCGUCGCAAGACGGACUACUGCGAAAGCAUUUGCCAAGAAUGUCUUCAUUAAUCAAGAACGAAAGUCAGAGGUUCGAAGGCGAUCAGAUACCGCCCUAGUUCUGACCUUAAACGAUGCUAACUGGCGAUCCAGUGGGGGUAUUUAAAAUGACCUGCUGGGCAGCUUCUGGGAAACCAAAGUUUUUGGGUUCCGGGGGAAGUAUGGUUGCAAAGCUGGAACUUAAAGGAAUUGACGGAAGGGCACCACCAGGAGUGGAGCCUGUGGCUUAAUUUGACUCAACACGGGAAACCUCACCAGGCCCAGACACUAGAAGGAUUGACAGAUUGAGAGCUCUUUCUUGAUUUGGUGGAUGGUGGUGCAUGGCCGUUCUUAGUUGGUG
rnacentral:rRNA from 1 species